GAAGUCGCCCAGACAGUCGCCGCGUACUUUGGUACGGGGAGGAAAGUCCGGGCUCCACAGAGCAGGAUGCCGGCUAACGGCCGGGCACCGUGAGGUGACGGAAAGUCCCGCUGGCAGCAGCGGGCAGUGGUGGUGGGUGUCUGAUUCAGGUUCGUCCCGUCGCAUCAUCGCUGGCAACAGAAAGCAAACCGCCGAUGGCGUCAGACGCCAGGUAAGGGUGAAAGGGUGAGGUAAGAGCUCACCGCGUCCGGGGCCAACGCCGGACGGCACGGUAAACCCCAUCCGGAGCAAGACCAAAUAGGGAAGCAUUGGCGUGGCUCGCGUCGCUUCCGGGUAGGUUGCUUGAGCGUGUUGGUAACGGCGCGCCUAGAGGAAUGAUUGUCACGCCAUCCGUGAGGGUGGUGCACAGAACCCGGCUUACCGGGCGACUUCCCCA
rnacentral:RNase_P_RNA from 1 species